AACGAACGCUGGCGGCAUGCCUAACACAUGCAAGUCGAACGAGACCUUCGGGUCUAGUGGCGCACGGGUGCGUAACGCGUGGGAACCUGCCCUUAGGUUCGGAAUAACUCCCCGAAAGGGGUGCUAAUACCGGAUAAUGUCUUCGGACCAAAGAUUUAUCGCCUUUGGAUGGGCCCGCGUUGGAUUAGCUAGUUGGUAGGGUAAAAGCCUACCAAGGCGACGAUCCAUAGCUGGUCUGAGAGGAUGAUCGGCCACACUGGGACUGAGACACGGCCCAGACGCGUCCGGGAGGGAGGGGUGGGGGGGAGUAUAUAAUAGACGGGAGCAAGAUCUAGCAACGCAGCGCGCGGGAUGAGGGGCGGCCGUUUGGGUAGUAAUUUCGUUUUCCCCGAAGUGUGAAUGACGGUACGGGGUAAAGAAGCCCCGGCUAACUCCGUG
rnacentral:rRNA from 1 species